CCGCUUAGCCGUUUAGUAUGAAGUACAUUCACAUCUGUACAGUUUUGGGGGUGCUGAGCAGUAUUGGGUUCACCAAAGGAGGACAGGACAUUAGCCCCCGGGCAUGUAAAGGCUUGCGUCGAGCCUGUUUGCACGAUGAAGAAUGCUGCAGUUUGGUUUGUAGUCUCAGAUAUUACUGUGACCAUCGGCGAGGCUGAGUGGAGUAAGGAGUGAGUAUCCACAGCGACACGUACCCAAGGCAACUGAGGUGUAUGUAAUUUGCUUGUUUUUUAUUUAUAUUUUUUUGCGCUUCCUUUGCGGCUAUAAAUAAUCGCCUGGAAAGGGUGAACACAUAAACCGAGCAUACAUAUGAAUAAAAAUACAUACGUAUACUUGUAUAUACAGAAAAAGUA